UUACCAUCGUAUUAUUUUUCCAUUUCGUUUUGUGCUUUUUCUGCUGCCUUCCAUGUUAUUUUUCACGCUACGGUUCUGUUGAGUCGAGUAUUCUGCUUCAAACCAGUGAACACAGUUGUGAUGGUGAUUUGAGACAGGACUCCAGUAUUUUGAGAUAGGACGUGUAUUUGUUGUGUUUAUAAUUAUGUGUAGUGAACAUGUCGUACAAGAGGUGCUGUAUUCCAGGCUGUUCAUUUACUGCAGGUUUGUAAACGACAAACUACUUGAUAUCAACUGCAACCACCUACUACUUAGAUAGGUAAUGCUUUGAAAAGUAAGUUUAUUAUGGGCAUUUCUUGAUGAUGUUAGGGGGGCUGGAUAAACUAAAGAAACUCUGAAUCUUACAGGCUAGCUAGUUGAUCUAUGGUAUGGGCAAGGAUUUGACAUGUGUGAGGCAUCUCCUCUCACAUUUUGGUUGUAUGAGUAGGUAUCUUAAGAACAAAUUAUUAUAACAUUUUAAUAAAUUAAUUAUUAUCUUAUUUUCAGCUAACACCUCAAAGAUAUGUGGUAAAUUGAGCCAAACGGAGCUGGAGUUAUUUACAAAAUUAAAGCUUGCCAAAAGAAAACUAAAUAAGAGCAAGAAGAUUUCCAUUCAAGCUAGACAAAUAAAAGCAGCUAAGAAAAUAUCAACAAACCCAGCAUUUAUAAAAAUUAUGGAUGAUUUGCCAGCAUCUGCAAAAAUACCGCUUAUGCUACAGAUUCGGGAGCAAAAAAAAAGGAAAAGGAAGACGUUUUAGCAUGAAAAAGAAGAUUAUGGCAUUAUCUAUCAUGAAACAAAGUCCUAAGGCUUAUAGAUUUUUAAGAAAAACUUUGAUUUUGCCUGCGCCAAAUACAUUAAAAAAACUAUUGACCAGAGCAAACAUCAAGCCUGGCAUCAUAAGAACAUUUUUGACCAAUUGAAGACAAAAUCCAAAACAAUGAAAGAAAACGACAAAUUAUGUAUUUUAAUGUUUGAUGAGAUGUCCCUCAAAACAAAUGUUACAUAUAAUGAAAGAAAGGAUAGUGUAACAGGAUUUGUAACGAACAGAGAGGAAACAAAAAAAAAAUGCAAAUCAUGCACAAGUUUUUAUGAUACGAGGGCUACAAAGAAAUUAUAAGCAGCCAAUAUCAUAUUCAUUUUAAUCAGGGGCAACCAAGGGACCUGAACUUGCUCACCUAGUCAAAGAAAAUAUUAUAAAUUUUAAAGAAGCUGGAUUUAAGGUGGUUGCUACUGUUUGUGAUCAAGGCACAAAUAAUCGCCAAGCCAUCAAAUAUCUGAUAGACGAGACAACAGGUGAUUACUUGAGAAGAGGUGAAUGCCCAAAAGAUAAUAUUUUUGUUGUUAAUGGAAAUUAGAUAGUCCCAUUGUACGACCCCCCACAUCUUUUAAAGGGGAUAAGGAAUAAUCUCCUAACAAAAAAUCUUGUUUAUGAAAUGGACGGACAACAAAAAAUUGCCAAAUGGCAGCAUUUGCAGCAGCUACAUGGGGAAAUCCUGGCUACAAAGGUGUGAGGCUUGUACCAAAAUUGACAGACAACCACAUUUUUCCCCAAAAAAUUGGAAAAAUGAAAGUCAAAUAUUCAGUGCAACUGUUGCAUCGAACAUGGGAUACCUUGCAGACAAGAAAAUACUCCCUGAAGAAUGCAAUUAGACUGCAGAUAUAUUAUUAUAAUUUGAUAAAUUAUUUGAUUCAGUCAACGGUAGCUUCAAU